rnacentral:lncRNA from 10 species
GACAGACUCAGCGGUUCAGAGCAGGGCUCUGCAGCCUCAUACCUGGGUUUGUCUCAGAUCUGUCACUUUCUCAUCAAGUGAACAUGAGUAAGAUAUUAAACAGCACUGGGCCUCAGCUUCCCCGCGGGUAAAAUGGGCGGCAGAAUACAGCACCGGGCCUCGGCUUUCCCGCGGGUAAAACGGGCGGCAGGAUACGGCAUCGGGCCUCGGCGUCUCCGCGGGUAAAACGGGCGGCAGGAUACGGCGCCGGGCCUCGGCUUCCUCGCGGGUAAAACGGGCGGCAGGAUACGGCGCCGGGCCUCGACUUUCCCGCGGGUAAAACGGCCACAGGAUACGGCGCCGGGCCUCGGCUUCCCCGCGGGCAAAACGGGCGGCACGAUACGGCGCCGGGCCUCGGCUUCCUCGCGGGUAAAACGGGCGGCAGGAUACGGCGCCGGGCCUCGGCUUCCCCGCGGGCAAAACGGGCGGCAGGAUGCGGCGCCGGGCCUCGGCUUCCCCGCGGGCAAAACGGGCGGCAGGGUACGGCAUCGGGCCUCGGCUUCCCCGCGGGCAAAACGGGCGGCAGGAUGCGGCGCCGGGCCUCGGCGUCCCCGCGGGCAAAAUGGGAGGCAGAAUAUCUGCGGCGCUGCUGCAAGGCCCGAUGAGAUAACCAAUAUCAGCUCCGACCUUGGCACCCUAGCAAAGAGGGUGCCCACAGCAAGGAAGGGCCAUUCUCAUCUGAACACACUUGGUCCAGGAGGAAGCAUGGAGCCAUCCAGGGAAGUCCUAAAAACCAGGUGUGCCCUCAUUUAUUCAAUCUCAUCAUAAAAUCCCAUUAAAUCAGUCAACAAAUAUCAACUGAGGACCUACCUACUAGGUGCUACAGCCUGCCCCAGGCUACACACUAGGUUACGUAAGUGACCACCAGGACAACAGAAAUAACACUCCAGCAUCACAGCUCUUCAUGACUGAUCCCUUUUUAUGAGUCAAAACAAGCCUGGGGGGAUGGUUGAGGUACUGUGAAAAUGCAUUAUUACUGCCCCAGGCAUCCAAUUACAUAUAUAAGUUGCAUGUUCUAAUUAAAUUUUCCUAAUGUAAUGUCGGCUUUGCCCGCUGCUAUUAAUUAUUGAAGCCACGUUCAGCUUAGGUGGAUUUUCCUCUCCCGCCUCACCUUCCAUUCACUCUUCACUCCUGGCUGCCCUUCGGCUGGCUGCAAACUCCCUGAGGAUGGGUCCUCUUUGAGCAAAGGCACCCACCGUGAGGCUCCCCUGUUGGACAGAGGAGGAGUCACCCAUAGGAGGAGAAGCAAGCAUCACCAGGCUGCUUCGUAACGAACACGUUAAGCACAAUGAUGGUAAUGGAAGGUACUCCAAAACAUCAGUGCACUUCCCUGCACUCUCUCCCAAGAGGCUUGUUUGCUCCCUUCUCACCAUCACCCACUCCCUGACCUAAAAAGGUGGUAACUACUCCCUCAGAAGGUUGAAGACUGUGGUCAGAUCCCAAGACGCAAGCAUGCAGGUGGAUCUGGCAGAGGGACGUUCCCAAGCCCCUGAAAUCAGACUUUAAAAUGUGCUGUGGAGGAAGGAAAGGUGGGGACCGGAGAAAGAACAUGGAACCAGGCCUGGAGCUUUUUCUGCUGGUGGCCAUCCUGGGAGCUGCCCCAAAGCAGCAAGCCUAGCCCUUCGCAAAGGCUCAUCCUGCAGCAAUGCACCUGCCAUGCCCCAGACUCUGCCAUGGCUCUCACCCACAACCAGCCCUCCUUUUGUGGUAAGCAUCCAAGAGCUGCAUAAGACCGAUAUGUUCCUGAGCCCUGGACCGUGCUUGAGGUGUGCCAACAAGCAUAGCUGGAAUGAAUUCCUAUUCACAACAUUAGGAAGAAAGACAUGCCACAUUCUUUAUUUUCUUUAAGCCAAAGUUCAUCUGCAAAUAACCGCCACUAUCCAAGAGACAGCAAAUUCAACUGCAUUCAUUAUUACUCCCCCGACCCCAUGGUAUCUUUAAGGGCCUGGACUCACACGUAGUGGACACCCCACAGAGAUGGGGCCACGAGGGCGGGACCUCAGCCCAAGUCUUCUACUCUACAUGCUGGUCCCCUGAGCUCAAGCUGUCACUCAGCUCCAGGGAAAGGGCUCAGGGCGCCCCUAGCUGCAGUCCAUUCUAGUACAGAGUGACCCACAGGACCCUCUCAGCUGCUCUCCAGGCCAUGGGAAAUAGUGCCUAACUGCCCAACCACCCACAGCAGCUUCUCAUCAGGCAUGCUGCAGCCUAGCCCCAUUCCUGUCCUCAGCAAGAGAGGACGCCCACUGCCAUGGUGUCUGCCAAUUCUUACUUUUGCAAAAGACAAGUCACUAAAACCUCCGUUUUCUAGACACAGAGGCUUAGACCUGCAAAAUGAAAGCUUGGCUGCCAUCCAUAUUGGGAGUGGAAGUAGGGAAACACCAACCAAGAGGUAAAGUCUUCUUCAGCAUACGACUGUAUCCAAACACCUCAUAUAGGGGCAUCUCACCUGCCACAUGCAGACACUUUUGCUCUCUGCCCCCAAAUGAAUCUGAAACACACUGGGAACAAGAGUGGCUCCAACAGCUGAUAUGCUUAGGGAGAAUUUUAAUCUUUUAUUCAUUCAACCAGAAAACAUCUUCAUGAGUGCCUGUGACAUGCUAGGCAUUGUGCAGGUACUGCGGACACACCCGUGGACAAGACAGACACAGUUCCUGUCCACGUGAUGCUCUACUACAUGGAGAAUGGAUUAAUGAAGGUGAUGGCAGGAAGACCAAUUAGGAGAUUGCUGAAACUGCAGAUGCAAGAAAUGGUGUUGGCAUGGUCCAAGGAGGUGUUGGUAGAGAUGGAGGGAAGUGGACAAAUUCAAGAGAUCAUGAGAAAAUAGAAGAGGCAGUGCUUGGUGAAUGAUCUGGUAUGUGGGGCAAAGGAGAAUGGAAAUUUAAAAAUGAUGCCAAGCUGUCACACUUACUUGGAAGACUGGGUAGACAGUAACACCAUUCACUGGACUUCACAUAAGAUAAAAAAUUCUUGAAGGGGACAUUAUCUGUCCUGUUCUGGUCAUUUGGGAUCCAAAGGGAGAAAUUCAUCAGGUAGUUGGAUAUGGAGAUUUUGAACUGGGAGGAGUGGUCAUCACAGUGCCUGAGAUGCCAAAAUUCUACACAGACAAGGUCCUUUAUAGAGUGUAUUUGGAAUCAGCUCUCACUGGACCAGCUCCAGCUAAGUGCCCUGUGAAGGGCACUAGGAUUUCAGAGAUGAAUAAACAUUGUCCCUGCCGCGGGGGGUGACAAUCUCAUUGACCCUGCAGUCAUUCUCCAUCUGCCUUUAUGGUACGGCAUCUCUGUUCACCAAAAACACCAUGGUUCAAGCCCUGUGAUUUAGCCUGUAGAACGCUAAAAGACUUUCUCUACUUCCUUAUUGUGACAGACAGAUUCCAUUAAAGCAUCCACAACCCUGAAGCUCUGUUUCUCCCCCACUGCCUCCCCCCAAGAAGUAAAAGAGGAUGAUUAUUAAAAAUUACAAGUGCCACCUUCCACACUCCAUCUCCCAAACUUCAUUUCACAAUGGCUGCUGACAUCAAUAAUGUCAGACAGGAUAAUCAAGUUUGCAUAAUGUAACAGUUCUCCAAGGGUCCCUCUGCACAAUCACCCCUCCCAGCCUGCAUAUAGGGAAACAGACCUUAGAUUAGGCAGAAAAGGCCCUUAGACUGUCAAACACAAGAGUCCUUUCUCCACAUGCGAUUUUACAGGAGUUAGCCUCCAUCAGAAAAGCUGACUUCUGAUUCCAGUUUGACCCUUUAUUGGCAGGAGGACAGGGGCAAAUCAUUGAAUCAUCCUGUGCCUCAAUUUUCUCUGCUUUAAAGUGGAAAUAACUCUGUAGUAUUCUAAAAGAAUGUCGAUCUUGAAUGGCAUAUAUGUACCAUGUAAUUGAUGAAGUUUAUUAAGAAUAAAAAUAUGGUGAUAGUUCAAUAAAAAAAAUAUUAAAAAUUCAAAAAUCAAUGACACACUUGGG